rnacentral:rRNA from 1 species
AACGAACGCUGGCGGCAGGCCUAACACAUGCAAGUCGAGCGAAGCCUUCGGGCUUAGCGGCGGACGGGUGAGUAACGCGCGGGAACGUGCCCUUUGGUACGGAAUAGCCCCGGGAAAAUGGGAGUAAUACCGUCUGCGGACGAGAGACGAAAGACUUUAUCGCCAAAGGAUCGGCCCGCGUUGGACUAGGUAGUUGGUGGGGUAAUGGCCUACCAAGCCGACGAUCCAUAGCUGGUUUGAGAGGAUGAUCAGCCACACUGGGACUGAGACACGGCCCAGACUCCUACGGGAGGCAGCAGUGGGGAAUCUAGACAAUGGGGGAAACCCUGAUCUAGCCAUGCCGCGUGAUCGAUGAAGGCCUUAGGGUUGUAAAGAUCUUUCAGUGGGGAAGAUAAUGACUGUACCCACAGAAGAAGCCCCGGCUAACUCCGUGCCAGCAGCCGCGGUAACAC